rnacentral:lncRNA from 1 species
CAGUGUUUUCCUUGUCUUUUCUUACUCUCCAGUCUCUUUCUUUCUUUCUUUUUUCUCCCCUACGUCCCAGGCUGGCUCGACCCUGGCGAAGCGGCGAGCGGGCUCUGCUUCCCAGCCAUCCCGGAGUCCCUCGCUAGCCGAGGGCCUGUUCCCGGGGUCCGCGCGCGCACCUCCCUCUCGCCGUCGUCUCCCCGGGGCCGGGCGCGGGGACACAGUCGCCUCCCCCGCUCCUCGGAGCUGAGGCGGCGGUGCCACCUCCGAACUGCGCUUGCGAAAGAAGCUCGGGAAGGAGAGUUUUGCCAGACAUACUGUUGCAGUAAACCUAGAUGCUUAUGCAGGACAAUUCAUUCGUGUGUGGUGCCGGCUACCGGGGUCUCCUGCAGUGUUUGAAUUUACUGACUUUAGAAUCUACGCGUCAAUAUUUUGGACAGUUUUGUGGACAUGUCUCUUGAUUUGCGAAUGAUUGAGAAUUUAAUGAAGUAUUUAGAUGAUAACAUGACAAUUUCAACUGGAGACUAAGAAUGUAGAUGCUGGUAUGUAGCGAUUUGUGUCUGCAAAAAUAGUUGUGAAAAUUUUGUAAAAAAUAUUGUGACAUUAAGACUGUGGGGAUCUGGGAGGAUCUAGUUUUGUCAGGUGCACGCCUCUUUCUCACCUCCGAACUAUUGGUGUUUUGAAAUGAACAUUGACUGCAGAUUUUAAGAUAUGCACGUUUAUCUGAUUUGCAUAUUUGUAAAUGAAAACUAAAAUCCCACAGGUGGAUGCUGUUUUAAUUUCUGUAUAAGUUAUUGAAAAUUUAGCAGUCAUUGGUGUUAGUUUGUAUUGUAAUAUGCACUGACAUUUACUUAUAGAAAGCAGUUGUUUAGCGUAUUUAUUUACAGAAUUGGUUUUCAGCGUUAGUCUUUCCUAUCCACCCCCCCCACCCCACCUUGCUCUCCUUUUUCUGUAGAGUUGAGUUGGAGCUAUUUCAGCAGAUAUUUAGUAGCAGUUGAAAUGUUAACUGGUUGGUUUAUAAAGUGUCUUUUAUUCUUUGUUUUGGUAGUUUUUUCGUUGUGUUUCAUUUUAUAGUAGUUGCCAGCCUGGGAUACUCUCCUGACAUAGUCUUUUUAACAAAAUGUGUCUUCCACACAGCGCUAGUAUANNNNNNNNNNNNNNNNNNNNNNNNNNNNNNNNNNNNNNNNNNNNNNNNNNNNNNNNNNNNNNNNNNNNNNNNNNNNNNNNNNNNNNNNNNNNNNNNNNNCUGACAUAGUCUUUUUAACAAAAUGUGUCUUCCACACAGCGCUAGUAUAUUGCCUUCCUUAUGCUUGCAUAGUCAGUUUAGAUCUGACAGUUCUGUUCAGAAUUUGCUUUUAUUAAGUUGUUUUAGUCUCUCCACAUACAAGCGAUCUGCAAGAUUGUUUAUGAAAAUUCUUUUAUUCUAAAAUUGUGAAGAAAAAAUUCACAGUAUGCAUCAAAUAAACUUUUUUCUUUAAAACAAAGACAUAAAUAUGAUGAGAUCUUUAACACUUUUAGAGUGCCAGUAGAUAGGGAUUUAUUCUCCUGUUGGUACCAGGAAUUCUGUAGCUUUAAUUGUUUAGUUAUUUGACAGUUUCCUAAUAUGGUGCUUCUUAUCCAGAUUGAAGUGUUUUCAUGCUUUCAUUUAUGCUAGUGGAGGAUGAGAUCUCAAAGAUGUAAUUGUGGAUCGAAGUGAAAAUACUAGAACUAAUGUUUUAUUGAAAGGUUUUAGUUAUCAGGCUUCAGAAAUAAUUGUUUAAAAAGAGGCCCAUUUGUGUGUUUUUUUCUCAAAUAUUUUUGUAAUAUGAAGCUAUGAAUACAUUGUGAUAUUUGUAAGUUAAGGGGGGAAGGAAGCCAUUUCCCAUUUAUUAAGACUUUUUGUUGUGUCUUAAUAGAUUCAAACUUUGUGGCCAUGUUUUCCAGUUUUUUGUUUUUUGGCCACACCUUGUGGCUUGCUUGAUCACAGUUCCCUAGCCAGGAAUUGAGCCUGGGUCCUAACCACUGCAGCACCAGGGAAUUCUCCUUAUUUUCUUUUUCAGUUGAAAAAAUAUUAAAGCUUCUGAUAUUUAUUUCUCUGCAAAUGGAGAGGAAAAAUAGGGAAAUUACUCAAUAGACUUUCAUCAGUGGCACUGUAGCUUUGAUAAUGCUGGUGUUUGGGAAAAGCAUGAUAAUGUGAGUGGGAGGGUGAUGCCAACUUAGAACUAAAGAAUAAAUUGAAAACUGAGGGGAAGCCUUCAAAGUCUCUGAGAUAGGGAAGACUUUAAUAUUUACAUUUUAAUCUUAUCUCAAUUUUUCCCAUAUACGUUGAAGCAUUUACUUAUUGAAGUCUGUUCAUAUAUUAAUUGAAAGAAUUUUCCCCUUCUCAGUCAAAUCUACAUUUUAUUCUUUUGUGGUUUGUCUUUCUCUUUGUGCCAAAUCUUUAAAUUGAAAAUUCUAAUUCUCACAUUAUAUGCAACCUAAUUUUUAAUUAAUAUAUANNNNNNNNNNNNNNNNNNNNNNNNNNNNNNNUGUGUGUGUAUAUUUAGACAAAUAGGAUUUAAAAUAUAUUUUAUAUUUUUAAUGCAAGCUUAAGGCAUUUUAUCUGUACAAAAUCAUAAAUGCUUCAUAGUAAUAGUUAGAUAAUUUGUUGACUACCGAUAGAAGUUCCUAGAUAGAUGAUCAGAAAAAUUUCUCUAUCAAUUAGAAAACUUCAAUUUCUACUUUUUCCCUCAGGGUUUUGUGUUUUUUUUCUGUCUAGAACCUCCCUGUAACCUAGACCUGUUUCUGAAACUCAGUGUUAUUUUAAGCCAUGUUUUGGUACUAUUGACUCUCUGAGAGAAGUGACUACGUCUUUACUUCAUUGCUCAUCUUCCCUAAGUUGGAAGACUCAACAGUAGCAUAAGUAAAAUUCUUGGGAUAAUCACCCUAUAGCUGAAUCUUGUAGUAUUCGAUGUCUCCUGUGAAAGCUACUUUAUUUCUGUGGGAAGAAACUUUCAGAGUCAAUACAAAGGAGGGGUAAGGUUGGAUCACUAGCCCUCACUACAUUGUCUAUUGCAGCCCCAACCCCUUGAGGU